AGCGUACACGGUGGAUGCCCUGGCAGUCAGAGGCGAUGAAGGACGUGCUAAUCUGCGAUAAGCGUCGGUAAGGUGAUAUGAACCGUUAUAACCGGCGAUUUCCGAAUGGGGAAACCCAGUGUGUUUCGACACACUAUCAUUAACUGAAUCCAUAGGUUAAUGAGGCGAACCGGGGGAACUGAAACAUCUAAGUACCCCGAGGAAAAGAAAUCAACCGAGAUUCCCCCAGUAGCGGCGAGCGAACGGGGAGCAGCCCAGAGCCUGAAUCAGUGUGUGUGUUAGUGGAAGCGUCUGGAAAGGCGCGCGAUACAGGGUGACAGCCCCGUACACAAAAAUGCACAUGCUGUGAGCUCGAUGAGUAGGGCGGGACACGUGGUAUCCUGUCUGAAUAUGGGGGGACCAUCCUCCAAGGCUAAAUACUCCUGACUGACCGAUAGUGAACCAGUACCGUGAGGGAAAGGCGAAAAGAACCCCGGCGAGGGGAGUGAAAAAGAACCUGAAACCGUGUACGUACAAGCAGUGGGAGCCUCUUUUAUGGGGUGACUGCGUACCUUUUGUAUAAUGGGUCAGCGACUUAUAUUCUGUAGCAAGGUUAACCGAAUAGGGGAGCCGAAGGGAAACCGAGUCUUAACUGGGCGUUAAGUUGCAGGGUAUAGACCCGAAACCCGGUGAUCUAGCCAUGGGCAGGUUGAAGGUUGGGUAACACUAACUGGAGGACCGAACCGACUAAUGUUGAAAAAUUAGCGGAUGACUUGUGGCUGGGGGUGAAAGGCCAAUCAAACCGGGAGAUAGCUGGUUCUCCCCGAAAGCUAUUUAGGUAGCGCCUCGUGAAUUCAUCUCCGGGGGUAGAGCACUGUUUCGGCAAGGGGGUCAUCCCGACUUACCAACCCGAUGCAAACUGCGAAUACCGGAGAAUGUUAUCACGGGAGACACACGGCGGGUGCUAACGUCCGUCGUGAAGAGGGAAACAACCCAGACCGCCAGCUAAGGUCCCAAAGUCAUGGUUAAGUGGGAAACGAUGUGGGAAGGCCCAGACAGCCAGGAUGUUGGCUUAGAAGCAGCCAUCAUUUAAAGAAAGCGUAAUAGCUCACUGGUCGAGUCGGCCUGCGCGGAAGAUGUAACGGGGCUAAACCAUGCACCGAAGCUGCGGCAGCGACGCUUAUGCGUUGUUGGGUAGGGGAGCGUUCUGUAAGCCUGUGAAGGUGUGCUGUGAGGCAUGCUGGAGGUAUCAGAAGUGCGAAUGCUGACAUAAGUAACGAUAAAGCGGGUGAAAAGCCCGCUCGCCGGAAGACCAAGGGUUCCUGUCCAACGUUAAUCGGGGCAGGGUGAGUCGACCCCUAAGGCGAGGCCGAAAGGCGUAGUCGAUGGGAAACAGGUUAAUAUUCCUGUACUUGGUGUUACUGCGAAGGGGGGACGGAGAAGGCUAUGUUGGCCGGGCGACGGUUGUCCCGGUUUAAGCGUGUAGGCUGGUUUUCCAGGCAAAUCCGGAAAAUCAAGGCUGAGGCGUGAUGACGAGGCACUACGGUGCUGAAGCAACAAAUGCCCUGCUUCCAGGAAAAGCCUCUAAGCAUCAGGUAACAUCAAAUCGUACCCCAAACCGACACAGGUGGUCAGGUAGAGAAUACCAAGGCGCUUGAGAGAACUCGGGUGAAGGAACUAGGCAAAAUGGUGCCGUAACUUCGGGAGAAGGCACGCUGAUAUGUAGGUGAAGUCCCUCGCGGAUGGAGCUGAAAUCAGUCGAAGAUACCAGCUGGCUGCAACUGUUUAUUAAAAACACAGCACUGUGCAAACACGAAAGUGGACGUAUACGGUGUGACGCCUGCCCGGUGCCGGAAGGUUAAUUGAUGGGGUCAGCGCAAGCGAAGCUCUUGAUCGAAGCCCCGGUAAACGGCGGCCGUAACUAUAACGGUCCUAAGGUAGCGAAAUUCCUUGUCGGGUAAGUUCCGACCUGCACGAAUGGCGUAAUGAUGGCCAGGCUGUCUCCACCCGAGACUCAGUGAAAUUGAACUCGCUGUGAAGAUGCAGUGUACCCGCGGCAAGACGGAAAGACCCCGUGAACCUUUACUAUAGCUUGACACUGAACAUUGAGCCUUGAUGUGUAGGAUAGGUGGGAGGCUUUGAAGUGUGGACGCCAGUCUGCAUGGAGCCGACCUUGAAAUACCACCCUUUAAUGUUUGAUGUUCUAACGUUGACCCGUAAUCCGGGUUGCGGACAGUGUCUGGUGGGUAGUUUGACUGGGGCGGUCUCCUCCUAAAGAGUAACGGAGGAGCACGAAGGUUGGCUAAUCCUGGUCGGACAUCAGGAGGUUAGUGCAAUGGCAUAAGCCAGCUUGACUGCGAGCGUGACGGCGCGAGCAGGUGCGAAAGCAGGUCAUAGUGAUCCGGUGGUUCUGAAUGGAAGGGCCAUCGCUCAACGGAUAAAAGGUACUCCGGGGAUAACAGGCUGAUACCGCCCAAGAGUUCAUAUCGACGGCGGUGUUUGGCACCUCGAUGUCGGCUCAUCACAUCCUGGGGCUGAAGUAGGUCCCAAGGGUAUGGCUGUUCGCCAUUUAAAGUGGUACGCGAGCUGGGUUUAGAACGUCGUGAGACAGUUCGGUCCCUAUCUGCCGUGGGCGCUGGAGAACUGAGGGGGGCUGCUCCUAGUACGAGAGGACCGGAGUGGACGCAUCACUGGUGUUCGGGUUGUCAUGCCAAUGGCACUGCCCGGUAGCUAAAUGCGGAAGAGAUAAGUGCUGAAAGCAUCUAAGCACGAAACUUGCCCCGAGAUGAGUUCUCCCUGACUCCUUGA
rnacentral:rRNA from 1 species